rnacentral:rRNA from 1 species
CAGGCUUAACACAUGCAAGUCGAGGGGCAGCAUGGUCUUAGCUUGCUAAGGCCGAUGGCGACCGGCGCACGGGUGAGUAACACGUAUCCAACCUGCCGUCUACUCUUGGACAGCCUUCUGAAAGGAAGAUUAAUACAAGAUGGCAUCAUGAGUCCACAUGUUCACAUGAUUAAAGGUAUUCCGGUAGACGAUGGGGAUGCGUUCCAUUAGAUAGUAGGCGGGGUAACGGCCCACCUAGUCUUCGAUGGAUAGGGGUUCUGAGAGGAAGGUCCCCCACAUUGGAACUGAGACACGGUCCAAACUCCUACGGGAGGCAGCAGUGAGGAAUAUUGGUCAAUGGGCGAGAGCCUGAACCAGCCAAGUAGCGUGAAGGAUGACUGCCCUAUGGGUUGUAAACUUCUUUUAUAAAGGAAUAAAGUCGGGUAUGGAUACCCGUUUGCAUGUACUUUAUGAAUAAGGAUCGGCUAACUCCGUGCCAGCAGCCGCGGUAAUACGGAGGAUCCGAGCGUUAUCCGGAUUUAUUGGGUUUAAAGGGAGCGUAGAUGGAUGUUUAAGUCAGUUGUGAAAGUUUGCGGCUCAACCGUAAAAUUGCAGUUGAUACUGGAUAUCUUGAGUGCAGUUGAGGCAGGCGGAAUUCGUGGUGUAGCGGUGAAAUGCUUAGAUAUCACGAAGAACUCCGAUUGCGAAGGCAGCCUGCUAAGCUGCAACUGACAUUGAGGCUCGAAAGUGUGGGUAUCAAACAGGAUUAGAUACCCUGGUAGUCCACACGGUAAACGAUGAAUACUCGCUGUUUGCGAUAUACAGCAAGCGGCCAAGCGAAAGCGUUAAGUAUUCCACCUGUGGAGUACGCCGGCAACGGUGAAACUCAAAGGAAUUGACGGGGGCCCGCACAAGCGGAGGAACAUGUGGUUUAAUUCGAUGAUACGCGAGGAACCUUACCCGGGCUUAAAUUGCAGAUGAAUUACGGUGAAAGCCGUAAGCCGCAAGGCAUCUGUGAAGGUGCUGCAUGGUUGUCGUCAGCUCGUGCCGUGAGGUGUCGGCCUAAGUGCCAUAACGAGCGCAACCCUUGUUGUCAGUUACUAACAGGCUCCGCUGAGGACUCUGACAAGACUGCCAUCGUAAGAUGUGAGGAAGGUGGGGAUGACGUCAAAUCAGCACGGCCCUUACGUCCGGGGCUACACACGUGUUACAAUGGGGGGUACAGAGGGCCGCUACCACGCGAGUGGAUGCCAAUCCCAAAAACCUCUCUCAGUUCGGACUGGAGUCUGCAACCCGACUCCACGAAGCUGGAUUCGCUAGUAAUCGCGCAUCAGCCACGGCGCGGUGAAUACGUUCCCGGGCCUUGUACACACCGCCCGUCAAGCCAUGGGAGCCGGGGGUACCUGAAGUGCGUAACCGCGAGGAGCGCCCUAGGGUAAAACUGGUGACUGGGGCUAAGU